rnacentral:rRNA from 1 species
AUUUGAAGAAGGUAACUUUGGAGUUGGCUCUYGUCUAUGUUCCUUGGAACAGGMCGUCACAGAGGGUGAGAAUCCCGUGCGAUGAGAUGCCCAAUUCUAUSUAAAGUGCUUUCGAAGAGUCGAGUUGUUUGGGAAUGCAGCUCUAAGUGGGUGGUAAAUUCCAUCUAAAGCUAAAUAUUGGCGAGAGACCGAUAGCGAACAAGUACAGUGAYGGAAAGAUGAAAAGAACUUUGAAAAGAGAGUGAAAAAGUACGUGAAAUUGUUGAAAGGGAAGGGCUUGAGAUCAGACUUGGUAUUUUGCGAUCCUUUCCUUCUUGGUUGGGUUCCUCGCAGCUUACUGGGCCAGCAUCGGUUUGGAUGGUAGGAUAAUGACUAAGGAAUGUGGCUCUACUUCGGUGGAGUGUUAUAGCCUUGGUUGAUACUGCCUGUCUAGACCGAGGACUGCGUCUUUGACUAGGAUGCUG